CCUCAGAACUGGGUGUUAACUGUGCCAGUGUUAUCUCUGUUCUCCUAGACUGAGCAUCAAUAAAUGCUUCUGCUUAAGACAUCUAGGUCUCCUGACACUUCUACCAGCAGCCCACAAGAUUUCCUUUAACAAAUCAGCAUCAGAAACAGGAUCCCAGGAGAACUAAGACUGAUUUUAAACUCCUCUGCAGCUCGGCACAUGACGGCAGCAUGUUCCUCAUGUUAUGAGGCAGUCAUUCUCUCCAGUCCCCAGAUAUCUUUGAAGCGCUCACCUCCCCUAAAUCCAACCACUCUUCUUCCUUUGAGACAUGCAGAAAUCAAGCAUGACUGCAUUGCUACCAUUGAGGCAAGCCUGUAAAUCUGUAAGACCAGACUUAUUGCAGACACCAAUGCCUAACACGAUUCUCUUCACUGCUGCUUCACCUCCUUAACACAUCUAAUAACAAAUAUCCUGCUGGCUCUGCAGUAGUGAAUGACUUGGAAGUGAUAGAGGCACAAGAGUUUGCAUUCAAACUAAAUCUGCAACUAUUUACUUUGAUUCUAGAUCUAGAGCUUUUAUCUUUUAUAUUUACAUCUUGCAAUUGUCAAAUGUGCUGCUCACACAAGAGGUUCUGAUCCUAUAUCUGCUAGAAAUGCACUGGUUGAUUGAUUCUGCAGCCAAACAAGCUGCCUCUUCCCCCAGUGAUAAAUUAAUGCACUUCUUAGCAACCUACAAACUCAAUUUGUGUACCUUCCUUUAAUGAUGUUGUUGAAAAGCAAAACCACACUGAUGCAAGGGAGCAAAACAUUUGGUCGCAUUAAGUUUGUGCACAUAAUCCAGAGUCUGUCUCCUCCUAGGUGGACAGAUCCAUGUUUCCAGGGAGCAGAUCAGCUCCCUCAACCACUCACAGGGGAGGUUGAAAGGCCAUGGAGAGUGAGGGGGGGUGGAUUCAGUGCAGGGAGAUCCAGGAGAUCCACAACAUGAGUGCACGUACUCUCGUAUUCGCAGCACUGACACAAUCACAGAUUUUGCACCACACAUGGGAAGACGCUCUUUGCAGUGCAUUCCAAAUCAACUGAUGAAGAAAAAUGACAUGAUUGGGAUGAGAAAACAUGAAAAAAUUCAGAAAGGACUGAUAGAUGCUGUUCUCUAGCUCUGAUCUGGACUUAAAGGGAAGUGGACACUGCUGCAUUUGAAUGUCCUAAAAUAGACGCCUGUACUGUUGUCUAUCCCAAGUUCUGUUCUAGAGGUGAAUGGUGGCGAGUCAGCUGAGUUUUUACAGCUUUUGUUAAAAGUAAUGAAAGUUCAAUCCUUCUCUUUUAGUGUCAGUGCUCCUGUUGAUAAUGAUUUUGAGUUGAUGUUUUAUGAUCUCUGAGGUUUUGAAGACUGGAUUCCACUGGGUUCAAUCUUUACUGAAAAGAUAAAUAAAGAUGAAUAUGUUUGAUCUGGUGAAAUGAAAAACAGUACAACAGAUACAGAUUCACCUGCAAGUCUUUGCAUGUGAGCUAAGAGAUUAAUGUUGAUUUCUUUAUCGUGCUGAUACUUCUGUGUUUUGGUUCAUUUUUAUGAGUUAGUUUGAUUUGCUAAUGCUAAUCAUCAUUUAGUUCACCUUAUAUUUUAGUAGACUGAGAAAAAUUGUUGUUGUUGCUACUCUGAAUGGUUGAUUAUGUUUUGAUUUAUUUGUGUUUUUAUUUCUUAUCUGACAUAUUUAAUCUUUUGUGCUUAAAUGAUACAGGUUACAUUUGUCUUGAUUAUUAGUAUAGAUGUACAUGAUAGAUUUGAUUCUGAGAAUUAUCUUAAUUGGCUAGUUGCAGACUCUUUUACUCCAUCCUAGUCCAGUGUGGAUGGAGAUGUUUGGCUCUGUGACUUCCCCUGUGAUGCAUACACAUGUGAUGUUGUUAAAACCUUUACAUCUGUAGUUAGAUGUAAUUGUCUGGAUUAACUGGUAACAUGUCUAUACACCACAGGGGAUCCUAAAUUUACUUUGCACACUGUUAACUGGUUUUAUCUCAGUAAAGUUUUCUGCUGGAGACAUUUAGGACUCCUGACUCUUUUUUUUCCACCAGCUCACAAGAAUUUAAAAUAGAAUUUAAAAUAAACCUCUGUGUUUGUCUGCACAGCAUUAGUUUAUAAAGACUGAGAUUUAGGAGGCUAAAGGAGAGAGACCCCUGUGUCUGUCUGUGUGGAUGUGUGGAGGCGUGGCUCGACUCCUGGCUCACCUGGUUCCUAUCCAUGCACACCUGAGCGAUCGCAGCACUACAAGAACCUCUGCUCUUCACCCAUCGAGUGCCAGAUUGUUUCUCCUUUACUAUGUGUCUCACCUGUGUCAGUGCCGCCGCCUGGCUCUGCCUCUCCCAGAUUCCCCUCACCUGGACUUCACCACCUAUAUCCCCAGUCCCUCUCUUCUCCUCUGGGUUUUCUGUUACUUCAGUAAGGAUUGCUUGUUUGUCAGAGUGUGUGUCUGCUCGCGGCUCCAGUAUUGACUUUGUGUUAAAUGUAAUGAGAACACUGUUGGUUUGACUCAGUUGAAAUGAAAAAGUCCUUUAAAUAACAAAUUAAGGGUUUGUACCUCACUGUACUGUACCCUCCAAAACCACCAUUCUCAGCAGAAAUCCAUUAAAACCUCUUCAUAUGUUGCACUUAAUCUAAUAAUUAAUCCAUCCUUUAAUUUGCCUGUAAUUUGUGGUAAAUCUUUUCAGCACCUGAAUAUAAAACAACUUUUGUUUGCACCAGAAAAUAUUUCAGACUCUGUAGAGGCUCAGAAAACCUCCUAUUAAUGAUUUCUUCUCAGAUUUUCACCCAAAGUCGAGGAAGUUGCUCCUCUGAGGCAGUUUUUAAAUGACACUGAUUGACCAGAAGGGGGCGUCAGAGCCUUUACAGCUCCUGUCACGUCUCCUCACUGAAGUUUAACUGAAAACCUGUCAAUAACUGAACCUCUGCUCCUCUCUGCGGAAGUUCAUCUAAGAAGCUGAUUUAAAGAUUUCAUGAAACCACGUUUUAAAUUUGUAUUUUGUAGUUUUGACUUCACGUGUUUGAAUUCUGAUGUAUCCCAAUAAAUCAUGUAAAAACGUUUCCAUGAACUGAGUCAAACCAGGAGAAAAAACACAACUGUCCUCAACUGUGUGUGUGUGUGUGUGUGUGUGUGUGUGUGCAUGUGUGUCCUUUGUUCUUAUGUCUUUGUAAGGACCAGUUUGACACUUUGACUCUUAAAACUGCAAGAUGUUUUAGAAAAGUUAGGAGACUUAGAAAGUUGUGAAACAGUUUUUAAAUGUUGAGAUAUUUAUGGGGUUUUCUUAUUUUUUCCACAAGAGCAAUGAUAAUAAAAACAAACAUUUAAGUGACAGUGACAUAAACAAACCAACAGAAACAAGAAAGGCUCAGAUCAACAAACACACACAGGAUGUUACAGGAAACAGUCUGUGCUGCAAUCACAGGGUAAAAGAGUUCAGGUUCAGCAGAAUCCUUGUAAAAUAACAGAGGAGAAAAGAUAAUUCAGAAUUAGGGAACUGCUCUGUUAUGGUUUGUAGGAUAUCUGUACGAUAUUCCAAAGGAACCAGCUCAACUAUAACUUUACUCCAACCCUUUACAGAGUAGCCCUCAUCACUGCUCUGCCCGAAAUCAGAAGCAAUGGAUCUACAUUUCUAAAUCUUUGUCCAAACAUUUUAUUCAUUUCACAAUAUUUCAGAUAAACACUGCUGUCAUUUAUGACACAACCACAGGAAAUGGGUUGAGGUUUCUAUGUUGGUUUUACAUUUAAAUGACGUUUUCUUAAAACCUUUUUUCAGGAAGUUGGGGAGUAAGGACAAUUUGAAAACGUGACGUUCUGUUUUUAUUGUUGUCAGCAGAUCAGUGUUAGUGUAGUAGAAGAAAGGAGAAGAGGAGAGGUUUGCAGAUGCUGAUACACUUCCUGUCAAGUUAAAACAGAGAGUACAUUAUUAUUUUAGGGGCUUUACAAGUGUAGAAGUUGAACAGUGAGUCUUUGUGCAUGUGUGGCUGCAGAACAGGAACAAAGGAACCAAGAGAUUCAGGCACAAGCCACAGAAGCACUGAGAGCUGUUAAUAAUGUUAUUAAUAGACAUUAUAAGAACAAUAAUAGUAGAAAAUAAAGAAAUAGAUAGAGUAAACAUCAUAAUAAACCUCUGUACAGUAUCAUAUUUGAGACUGAGCACUGACCCUGCAUGAAAACUGUCUGGCUUCACCACCAUGUGGGUGUUGACCAGCUGUGUCUUUAUCAGCAUCUUUGUGAGUUUUUCCACCUCAGCAGAAGGUCAGAUCCCAACGGUGGAUGUGUUGUCACUUAAAACAGAGAAGGGGAAAAAGGACUGUCAGCUCUGUAGUUUAACAUCAUUUGGUUUUUCAUAUGUUAUUGUAUGUUGUUAUCCUCUGGAAGUUCUGUCUGACAGGACAGAGGCGAGAAUCAAGAAUCUCCUCAGUCAGCCAUAAUUCAUCCACAGCAAUGUUAAAUAAAUGGUUUUAAUCAUUUGAUGCAGUGUUUCUGUUUCAUGUAUAAUCCACAUUGAGCAGAUAUCUUUUAUAUUCAUCUUGAUUAUGUCAGUUCCUGACCAUCAAUCGAGCCACAGAAUCAGCUGCUUUAACUCGUUUCUGCCUCAGUAGAAACGAAGAACUUGUGUCUAAAAGUUUUAGCUGUGUGUUUUCAGUGUAAAGUCAUAGGCUCCUGGGUCAGAGCAGGCCUACAUGUUGAGACUGAACACACUGCUGCAUUUUUGUUAGACG